UACGUAGGUGGCUAGCGUUGUCCGGAUUUACUGGGCGUAAAGAGCGCGCAGGCGGUCGUUCAAGUCGAGUGUGAAAGCCCCCGGCUCAACUGGGGAGGGUCACUCGAUACUGAUCGACUCGAAGGCAGGAGAGGGAAGCGGAAUUCCCGGUGUAGUGGUGAAAUGCGUAGAUAUCGGGAGGAACACCAGUGGCGAAGGCGGCUUUCUGGCCUGUUCUUGACGCUGAGGCGCGAAAGCUAGGGGGAGCAAACGGG
rnacentral:rRNA from 1 species